rnacentral:lncRNA from 1 species
UGAACACAGGUUCACCAGCUGCUCCAUAGGGUCCUGUCCAGCCAGCCUCAAGAGGAGAUGAGUAACAGGCCCCAGAAAGCACACCUGAGCUUGCCUGCACCUGCUCUUACUUGCACCUGAGCCUACCUGCACCUGAGGUUACCAACACCUGAGCUUAACUGCAUCUGUGGUUAUCUGCACCUGAGUUUGUCCACGCUUGAGUUUACCCACACCUGAGGAUACCUGCACCUGACCUCCCUUCACCUGUGCUUACCCGCAUCUGAGCUUACCUGCCACAGCAGUGGAAUGGAGAGGGCACAGCUCAGGCUCUUUCAGCCUCCUCCUUGGCCAGGGCAGGGAGCUGGGUGAGGAGGGCCCACCCUUUAAGAGGAGCAGUCCCCAUGAGGAGCAUGUGAGCACUUGGGCCUGGGCCCUCAUGAUUGCUGUGAAGCGAUGGCCCCAUGACCUGACUCCCAGGCCAGAAAAGGAAGCCAGGGCCCCAAGCUUCCAGGCUGUUCUGUGUGGAAUCCCACAAAGGCAGCCUUAGGAUGUGAGAGAGGUAGGGGAGCUAGAGCUUUUCCUUUGAAGUGGCCCCGCCAUGGCCCCCUCCCACCCAGCCGCCCUUCCCUGGCUGGAAAUGUCAGCAGGGUUUGCAUAAUUGAGACAAUUGGACAUAAUGGUUCUUUCAGAAUCCCCUCAUCAGCUGGGCAGUGUUCGUGCCCCGGGGAGCUGGGAGAAGGCGGCACAUGGCACUAAUUACUGCUAAUCCUUCCUCAUCUAAGUUGGGCCUGAGGUCAGGGUGAACCCAGCUGCAAAUGCAGUGUGAGCCCCACAUGACUCUCAGCCCCUUCUGAGUGCUUCUAAUCCCUGCUCUCCCCCCUUCACCAGGAGCUUGCCUGCUUGGCAUCCACAGUCACCUGAAAACCACCACGGUGGGAGCUCUGUUGGAUUUGCUGUAACAGUAUGCGUGGUUAUUCCAGCUUUCCAUGAGCUUUCUCAGCCCAGGAGGAAAGAAAAAACCCAAACCCUGAACUAUCCCUCUCUGCAGAGGGGCUGGGUCUUCCCCAGCAUCUGAGGCUCUUGGGCAUUGUCCGCCUCCCGCUUCUCACAGAGGAGCAGACAGAUUGGACGUAAGGGCAAUUAGGGGUGUUCCCAUUUUACAGAUGAGGACUCUGAGUCAUGUGAGAGGGUGGCUUGCCCAGAGAGCAGGUGGGGUGGAGUGGGAGUGCCCAGGUUGUCAAGUUCUGCCCAUAUGUAGAGUCCUGAAGCUGGAGGCUGGGCUCACUCCCCCACCCAAUGCCUGGCAGACAGCCUGGGGCUCAGGGAAUCUCUGAACUUCUGACGGAAGCACAUGUGCCAGGCCAUUUUCUGGAAUACUCUCUACAAUGAAAAUAAAACCAGUGACUCUGUAGUGGAGAUAAUCCAUUGUGUUACAGCUUUGUAGCUGUAAACCUGGUUGGUCCUGGAUCCUGCCAUGAGUAAAGGUUGCAGCUGGAGCUUCCGGAAAUUCCUAGCAGAGAGCAUUAUCUGAGCUGGCUUUCCUUCUCAUCAAACUCCUAACAUCUCAUUAAUCCGCAACUCCACUAACUGCACGUAAGAAGCCCCAGUGUGUCACUGUGCUGGCAUCCCUGAGAGUCUGAGUGUAACGUUCUGCCCUUUGCUGGGACCUAAUGGAGGACUUUCAAAUCCCAACACCAUGGCUAACACUUCUGAAGUCUUCACUCUGGAGUGAUGGCAAAAUUCCCAAAAUGUGGGUCCAAUUAUAUGGAAGUUGAUUCGACCUUUUCUUCCUUCAAGAUGUCUGUGUUCCUGAGAAGAAAUGUGGGCAGGAAUAAUGGCAAGAGAUGAUUUUGCCUCAAUCUGACUUCAAGCUUCUUUUGUUGAUAGCAGCAGACUGCAUGAAAACAGGAUCUUUGGGGACAAAAUGAUGCUCCUGAGCCCCAUGUAGGCAGCUGUGGCUCCUCACAGUCCACACGGGAAGACGUCUCAGUGUUUAGAAGAGCUCAACGCAUGGCACCCCUCUUCAACACCUGGCGCCCAGGGCGUUAUUUCUAUCUCCUGUGUCCUCAUGCCCUCUUAGAACGGGAGAGCUCGUAACAGUCUUCAAGUUGAUCUCCUGUUAGUGUCAUGUCCUUAAGUAAUGCUUUAUCGCUUCUAAAAUCUGAAUUUUACCCCAUUGGUUACAAUAACCCAUAAAGCAAAACAAAGCACCCACCCCCCCAAAAAAAUUUGGCUGUACCUAGUAAAUCGCAGUGAAACUUUUGUUCUGGGAAUAGAGUAUUGUUACCCGAAACUUUUGUUUAAAUAAGCACAAAGACUUCGCAUUUUUAUCUUUUGAAAAAAUCUUUGGAAAAGUCUGAAACACAGGCCAAGGCAAGGCUGCUAACAGAAAGGUAGAGAGUGUGAGCAUACAGAGCUUGGGUAGGACAAGUGCUGGAAAGUGUGGCAAUAGAAGAAGGGAUGUGGCAUUCUACUUUUUAAAGCUCAUUCCUUCUUCCCGAGUUGAUUCAGAAAUUGAGUGGCUGGGAGCUGUGGCUCAUGCCUGUAAUCCCUUUAGGAGGCCGAGGUGGGUGGAUCACCUGAGGUUGGGAGUUUGAGAUCAGCCUGACCAACAUAGAGAAACCCCAUCACUACUAAAAAUACAAAAUUAGCCGUGCAUGGUGGUGCAUGCCUGUAAUCCCAGCUACUCAGGAGGCUGAAGCAGGAGACUUGCUUGAACCUGGGAGGUGGAGGUUGUGGUGAGCCGAGAUCGUGCCACUGCACUCCAGUCUGGGUUCUUGAGCAAAUAACACCCUAGUUAAGGAUUGCUAACAAUUAGUCCCAAAUGCUCCCCAGUCCUGGGAAACUUUGCUUAGCAGAGGUUUCUCCAUCUCAUGGUGCCCAGCUCCUUCCUCCCAAGGGGCCAAUUAAACUUUUUUUUUAAUUGGCUGAGAUGAAAAGGCGUGGUGUCCACUUUGAGGGGUUCCUGAUUCAGAGAUAGCUCUUAGAGUACUGCGUCUGCCCAAAGGUGAUAUUCUCUAAACUCGGCCUCUUAGAGCUCAGGCAUUCUCAACAAAAAAGAUUCCACGUGAACUAAAUUUGGGCAACUCUGCUUCCUGUAUUUUCCUCUUGGAGAUUCACAAUGCAUAUUAGGAUAUUAAAAUUCUGAGAAGUCCUGCCACAAAGAACCCCCUUUUCUUUCUUGUAACCCAGCAUUCCUCAAACUCAUUUGCCCAUAGGAUCUUUUUUCUUCUGAAAUACCUCUUAAUAUUUCACAUAACGAAAGUAUCACAACAGAGGACUUGGGAAAAACUCGAUUAACACAAGCUUAACCAUCUGAGGUGCCGGUAAGUGUUCCGUGUUGGAGCAAUCUGCUUCCUGAAGUCCCAUUCAGAAGGCUGGAGCAGGUUCCUGACAGUAGAACCCCUGUCCAGGGCUGCUGUCUUGGCUUUAGGUAGCUAAGAUCACCUCUCACUGUGUCUUCUGCCUGAAUCACCCCCUUCAAAACUCACCACGGCCCACCUUCUCCAGCUGGUGAAUGGUAACUCACAGGAGUGAAUCUCCCAGCCAAAUCAACAAGAAAGGGAGGGCUCCACAGGACAGGACCCCUGAUUCUGCCUGCUCCUCCCUAACUCUCCAGGAAGAGUGCUGCCUCUGAGCCCCUGACUGGGAAAGACUUGGAAAGAGCCAGGGCCACCAUGGACUGUCACAACCAACGGGGUUCUCCAAAGGGUCACCUAUGCAUACAGAAUUCAAUACCCAGCUCUGACAGUUUUUUUUUUUUCAAAAUCUCUAAGGUAUAGAGAUAAAAAUGGGUCAAACAAUAUCUUAAAGACAGUGACUGAGAAUUUUCCAAACUGUCAAAAAACAUUUUUCUUUGUACUCCUAAAAUGUUUUUUUUUAACUUUAGGUUCCCCCAUACAACUGCAGGUUUGUUACACAAGUAAACUUGUGUCAUAGCACUUUACUGUACAAAUUAUUUUAUCAACUAGUUUUUUGCCCUCCAUCACCCACGUUUUAAGACUACUGUGCCCAUAGUUAGUUCAUUCCGGUGGAUUUCUGGUCCCACCGCCUUUAAGAAUGAAGCAUGCGGACCUUCCCGGUGAGUGUUACAGCUCUUAAAGGUGGCAAGGACCCACAGUUAGCAACAGCAAGAUUUAUUGUGAAGAUGUGAACAGCAAAACAACGACGCUCCCACACGCUGGAAGGGUACCGAGCAAAUUGACUUUGCUGGCUAACGGGUGGGCAGCUUUUAUUCCCUUAUUUGGCCCUGCCCAUGUCCUGCAGAUUGGUCCAUUUUACAGAGUGCUGAUUGGUCCAUUUUACAGAGUGCUGAUUGGUCCAUUUUACAGAGUGCUGAUUGGUCCAUUUUUACAGAAUGCUGAUUGGUGCAUUUACAAUCCUCUAGCUAGACAGAAAAGUUCUCCAAGUCCCCACUGGACACAGAAGCCCAGCUGGCUUCACCUCUCACUAGUACCCUUAUUUUUUUCUGAUCUUUUCUCUCCUCCCACUGUCCAUCCUCCAAAAGGCCCCAGUGUGUGUUGUUCCCCUCUAUGUGUCCAAGUGUUCUCAUCAUUUAGCUCCCAUUUAUAAGUGAGGACAUGUGGUAUUUGGUUUUCUGUUCCUGUGUUAAUUUGCUAAGUAUAAUGCCCUCCAGCUUCAUCCAUGUCCCUGCAAAGGACAUGAUCUUGUUCUUUUUUAUGGCUGCCUAGUAUUCC